GGGGCCCUUCAGCGGGGCUGUGAUCAUAUCUCUUCCCUCCACUGUCGUCCUAGAAUGGAAGCCAAGCGUCCACACGCAGGCUGCCUGGGGGGCUGCUCUCCAGACAGACGGCUGUCUCCAACAGAACAAACUCAGGGCACGGUCCCUGGGCUUCUAGUCUUUGGAGAGGCCCUGUGGCUUUGGCUACUGGUGGCCACCCUCUCCUGGGGCUGUGCUCUUGCAGGGAAAGCAGUUGUCAGUUUCCUUACGCUUUUAAAAUUAUGUUUAUCACACAAGUAAGCCUCUGUCAUAUUAUGUUUAUCACACAAGUAACCCAAAUUCAUCAUUAAAAAAACUAGAAAAUUAAAACAAAAAUGAAAGUUUAAACCACCCAGUAAUCCUGUGAUUUAGAGGUAAGUAUUGUUAACGCAGGGCUUCCCUGGUGGCUCAGACUGUAAAGAAUCUGCCUGCGAUGCAGGAGACCUAGGUUGCAUUCCUGGUCGGGAAGAUCCCCUGGAGGAGGGAAUGGCAACCCACUCGAGUAUUCUUGCGUGAAGAAUUUCAAGGACAGAGGAGCCUGACUUGGAGUUAUGGGGCCAGAAGGACGCACAUUUCCAUGACUCGGAUAGGCGUUGCCAGAGCGCCCUUCUGAGAGGUCGAACCUGACGCCACCCCCCCAACAGCGCGGAGUCAGCGUUUCUCUCUCCCCGCUGACGUCUGCAGGUGGAGAUCCACAGGCUCGGAACUCUCUCCAGCUGCUGGUCCUGCAACCAUAUCCCCGAAGGCCCCAGGACUCCAGUUCCUCUUCUCCCAAUCCCCACCCCAAAGUACCCGAGAGAACCAGUCACCAGGCAGAUCCAGGGUCCCAAUGCCACCUGGCGUGGCCACCAGCAGACUCCAACCCCGCUCCCCUUCCACGUGGGCGCCUGAAUACCUCUUCUCGAGGCCCGCAGCCCCCACCUCUUGACGGGACAGCGAGCUUCUGAGUUAUCGGCAGCCUUAUUUCCCUCUACAGCUCCUACAGAGUUAACAGAUGUACGCACGUCUGAGGCAGUCAUGCGGCUGCCUUUGCCCUGGUGUACCGGGAGCUGGCCUGCGUCUCACCCUUCCUCGGAGAGACAAAGAAGUAAGUCUCAGGAAGAUGGAACGACUGGCCUGAAGUCAUGACGCUAGGAAGUGACAGAGCUGGUCUUGAACCCCGGUCUGCCUGAAGCCAAUGCCUGCGCUGAGCAUUUGACUGUUGCUCUCACCCCUGUGCUCCUUGUCACACCUCUGUGGCUCCACAUCGCUGGCAGCGAGGCUGAUGAAGCAGGCAGCCCCAUGCAUGGAUUCGCUCCUGCAGCGGGUGCUAUACUGGAGAGCUAAGAGCAAGGGUUCUUCACUGGGGCUUCCACAGAGCUCUUCAGGUUGUACACAGACUGUGAACACCUGUGUGUCUGUGUCUAUCCAGGGAGAAGGUGCACAGAGCCUUCAUCCCAAGUCUCUGAAUCUGGGGACUUCCCGGGUGGUCCAGUGGUUAAGACUCGUCGCUCCCCAAUGCGGGGGACCCAGGUUCAAUCCCUGCUCAGGGAACUAGAUCUCACAUGCCACAGUGAAGAUCAGAGAUCCUGUGUGCUGCCACUGAGACCCAGCGCAGCCAAAUAAAUAAAUGUUUAAAAGAAACUUCCGAAUCUGUGGAUGGGUAAACACCAGGACACCCCCCAAAGUUCCUGGGUCCCCCCCCAACCAGCACGUCUCCUGCUUCAGCUCGCAUCCAAGCACUGUCUCCCAUGAUGGACUCCCAGAGAAGAAAAGCGACAGGUCAAGGCAAAUGAACCCCGCACCCCAGCUGGGCUGCAAAGGAGGCCUCGGUCCCCUCUGUAAGCAAGAUCAGACCGGCCUGAAGGGAGGGAUGAGGCACAAAGCCUCCCAGGCACUGAUUUAUGUAG
ensembl:lncRNA